rnacentral:rRNA from 1 species
ACGGGUGAGUAACACGUGGGAACGUACCCUUUGGUUCGGAAUAACGCUGGGAAACUAGCGCUAAUACCGGAUACGCCCUUUUGGGGAAAGGCUUGCUGCCGAAGGAUCGGCCCGCGUCUGAUUAGCUAGUUGGUGGGGUAAUGGCCUACCAAGGCGACGAUCAGUAGCUGGUCUGAGAGGAUGAUCAGCCACACUGGGACUGAGACACGGCCCAGACUCCUACGGGAGGCAGCAGUGGGGAAUAUUGGACAAUGGGCGCAAGCCUGAUCCAGCCAUGCCGCGUGAGUGAUGAAGGCCUUAGGGUUGUAAAGCUCUUUUGUCCGGGACGAUAAUGACGGUACCGGAAGAAUAAGCCCCGGCUAACUUCGUGCCAGCAGCCGCGGUAAUACGAAGGGGGCUAGCGUUGCUCGGAAUCACUGGGCGUAAAGGGCGCGUAGGCGGCCAUUCAAGUCGGGGGUGAAAGCCUGUGGCUCAACCACAGAAUUGCCUUCGAUACUGUUUGGCUUGAGUAUGGUAAAGGUCGGUGGAACUGCGAGUGUAGAGGUGAAAUUCGUAGA